GAUCACUCUUCAGUGGAGAUUGUCUCAGCAGUUCCCAGCAGACCAAAGGCUUCUAUACAGGAGUGCUGUACUGAAGCCUGUUCAGGCCCACAGCCAGCAGUGGCAUGUUCACAGAGGGAAGCAGCCAGAUACCCUGCGGCGUUGCUGAUCAUCGCUGUGCUUUUAUCAGCACUAGUGCUAGGACCUCAGCUCCACAGUCACAGCUCUGGUUUAACUCAAUUUGUAAAACUACUUCUGCUUGGAGAAAUAAGAAUGGUAAAACAUAAAGGCACUUCUAGACAAAAGCUAAGAAAA